rnacentral:rRNA from 1 species
AGAGUUUGAUCAUGGCUCAGGAUGAACGCUGGCGGCAUGCCUAAGACAUGCAAGUCGAACGAAGUGACCCAAUGAAGUUUGCGUGCUUGCACAAAAAUGGAUUUGGAUUUUCACUUAGUGGCGAAAGGGUGAGUAACACGUGGGUUAUCUACCCUCGAGACUGGGAUAACAGUUAGAAAUGAUUGCUAAUACCGGAUGAUAUAAAGAGGAAUACGUUCCUUUUUAUUAAAAGGAGCCUUUAAAGCUUCACUUGAGGAUGAGCCUGCGUCGUAUUAGCUUGUUGGUGGGGUAAUGGCCUACCAAGGCGACGAUGCGUAGCCGACCUGAGAGGGUGAUCGGCCACACUGGGACUGAGACACGGCCCAGACUCCUACGGGAGACAGCAGUUAGGAAUAUUCGUCAAUGGAGGAAACUCUGAACGAGCAAUGCCGCGUGAAGGAUGACGGUCCUUUGGAUUGUAAACUUCUGUUGUUAGGAAAGAAUCACUUAAGUAGGAAAUGACUUAAGUUUGACGGUACCUUUCAAGAAAGCUCCGGCUAACUACGUGCCAGCAGCCGCGGUAAUACGUAGGGAGCGAGCGUUAUCCGGAUUCAUUGGGUGUAAAGCGUGUGUAGGCGGUUUCUUAAGUCUAUGGUCUAAGCCUGGAGCUUAACUCCAGUUCGCCAUAGAAACUGAGUUACUUGAGUGUGGUAGAGGCAAGUGGAAUUUCUAGUGUAGCGGUGGAAUGCGUAGAUAUUAGAAGGAACACCAGUGGCGAAAGCGACUUGCUGGGCCAUUACUGACGCUGAGACACGAAAGCG